AGGGCUUGCAAAGACCCAAUGGGAGUAGAGGGUGGGGACAAUAGCCUUUUCUUGAGACACAAUUCGUGAAGUUAUUUGUUCUUCAAGUUCAUUCUGCUGGACAAGUGGUUGUAAAUGACGUCAGUCAGCUUUAUAUCCCGCCCCUACGGCGCCAUAGAGUCCCGAGGUAAAGAAGUCUUCACGUCAGGCUGACAGAAGCGGUUACCAUGAGGGUCAAAACCGACACCAUGUAGUGCCUAAGACACGCUUUGCAAACUGUGAAGUGCUGGACGAAGGUAACAACUGUCCCUGUUACCGUGAUCAGCUCCGUUUAGAGGUUGGUUCCCUCAUCCUCUCCUCUAAAUAUUCUUGGUGCAAGUCGUCAAGCACCCAAAUGUGGCAUCUGGGAGGUGGAAUUCAGCAGCCUUCUAACAGGUUGUGAAAAUACCGAUAGAUGUUCAGGCUACAAAGUUGGGGGUGGGGGCUUUCUCCAGUGGAACCGCAGGAUAAACACAGGCUGGCCGAGAAGAGAGGGUUGCCCCGCUGGCCCAGUCAGUGGGUCCUCCAGGCUGCCUCCUGAGCCUCUUGGAGCUGUAAACAGGAGUGAUUGUUUUGGCAGGAGAUGUCCCACCCUGGCUGUCAAAGAGGAAGCUGAUGAGAUGCAAAGCAGCCCAGACCCAUUCAACUUCUCCCACCCGAGGGUGGUGUGACCAGUGGUGUGAACACGGGGGAUAGACGUUUAAGUCAACAGAUCUGAGAUUAAAAUCUGUGCAAAACAUGUGUCUGUGGCCCACUCUCAGGAGUCCCAUCUCGCUUGCUGGGAAAGAUUUUGAAAAUCCUACUGAUUUUUUUGGGAAAGCACAGUUUUGCGAUAUGCCGAGCUGGAGAGCAAGUUCUGAAUUGUAUAAAAUAUUCCCUGAAUGCUGGACUUCACCUGUCUGAUAGCUCUUACCUGGGCUCCGUCCAUUUUCCAGAGGAGGAAACUGAGGCUCAGCUAAAUGCAUCAAAUGACAUGUGGACACGAAAUAGCUAAGAAGAAGGACUGAGACGAGAAUUCAUAUCCUCUCUCUCCAAACCUGAUCCCCCUGGCUUACUGGCUGGGUGACCUCGGGAGAGCUUGUGACCUUCUCUGAGCCUCUGUUUUCUUAUCUGUGAAGUGGGGCUGAUGAUAAGACCUACCCCUGAGAGCUGAGAGAGUUAGAUGGGAUUCUACAGGGAAAUCACUUGGCCCAGUCGAAGAGUAAACACUGAGUGAAUGGUCUCUGUUAUUACUACGUUAGGGCACAGGGUUGUUAAAUACAUAGAUAAGUGGAUGAAUAAAUAAAUGCACUCUUAUCUCUACGGUGGACUGGAGGCUUUCUUUGCAAGAAACCCAGGAAAUGUAGGCAACUUCCUUUUGAUGGCAGUAAGCGCCCAGUGAAGCAGUUUGUGGUGGCAGAAGAAUUGGACCUCGCUUCUGCUGUAAUUCACAUUCUUGAAGAUCAUUCCAAAAGCAGAGAAAGGGCUGGGCCCAGCUCAUCCAAGAUAUGAUCUCCCUGGUGUUGCUGACAAGGUGACAUUUUGGGUGAUUAUGCAAGAAAUCUUCCAAGGACGGACCCUCUGCUUCAGCAAAAAGCUUUGAAUUUUGCAAAACUGCCAGAGCCCAAUAAUUUCUCAUCUGGCACUGGCUCACCCGGUGAGAUUUGCUGGCAUCCCAGAAUUGACUCUGAAGCACUGUGCUCAUCCAAUGGCCCUCUGCUCGCCUCUCGAGAGUUAACAGAUGUGAGCGCUGGAGGAGAGGGUGACAAGUGGCCCGAGACCUGGAGAAGCCAGGGUGGUAAGAGCAGGGUGGAGGUUUCUUGUUGGAGCGCAGCCAAGGCGGCCCCGCAGGCUCCCUGGUGAAUACGCAGAGCAUCAGAGCACGCUCUGUUUCCACAGCACAGUGUUCAAGGGCCUGGUCCCACAGUGACUGCUUCCCUGCAGCAUUCCGCUCUGGGCUGCAGAGAGCUGGCUGCUUUCUUUUCUUUCUUUCUUUCUUUUUUGUUUGUUUGUUUGUUUGGAAUUUCACUCUUGUUGCCCAGGCUGGAGUGCAAUGGUGCGAUCUUAGCUCACUGCAACCUCUGUCUCCUAAGUUCAAGCGAUUCCCCUGCCUCAACCUCCCGAGUGGCUGGGGUUACUGACAUGUGCCACCACGCCCAGCAAAUUUUGUAUUUUUAGUAGAGACAGGGUUUCUUCAUGUUGGCCAGGCUGGUCUCCAACUCCCAACCUCAGGUGAUCCACCCUCCUUGGCCUCCCAAAGUGCUGGGAUUACAGGUGUGAGCCACCGUGCCUGACUGGCCCUUUUCUUUCUUAGCGUGAGAAUGAUCUGUCUUUCAAUUGCCCAACUUAGAUGGCACAUCUUUGGUACCUUUUUAUUUUUUAGUUUUUUAGAGACACAGGAUCUCCUGAUGUUGCCCAGGCCGGACUCAAACUCCUGGGCUCCUGCGAUCCUCCCUCCUUUGCCUCUGGAGGAGCUGGGACUGCAGGUGCCUGCCAACGCACCCUGUACAGCACCUUUUUCUGCCUGCAUUGGUUUCUCAGGGCUGUUGUAACAAGUGACUAGAAAUUAGGUGACUUAAAAGGACAGAGAUUUAUUCUGCCAUGGUUCUGGAGCCCAGCAGUUUGAGAUCCAGGUGUCAGCAGACUCCCUGUGAAGGCUCUGAGAAGAAUCUCUCCCUGCCUCUUCCGGCUGCUGGUCCCUGGCUGUGGCAGCAUCACCCCAGUCUCCGCCUCCACCUCCGCCUCCACUGGGCUUUCUUCUCUGGGCUUCUGCCUGUCUUCUUGUUUUCUGUCCCUUUUAAGGACACCUGUCAUUGGAUUUAGGGUCCAUCCUAAUCCGGGAGGAUCUCAUCUCAUGAUCCUUACCUUAAUUACAUCCUCAAUGACCCUUAUUCCAAAUAAGGGCACAGUCUGAGGCUUGGGAAGACCUAUCUUUGGGCAGCGCUGCUCAACCCACUAUAUUACAUGUCGUAAAUUUUAUUUGAUUUCUACGGCAUUGAUUAGAAUUACGGCGCCUUCAGGUGCAGACUGCGGUGACUUAACCAAACAGGGGCCUGUUUUCCUUCUGUCAUAGGCACUGUUUUUCAUUGUUGUUUUUGUUUGUUUGCUUUUGGAGAUGGAGUCUCGCUCUGUCGCCCAGACUAGGGUACAGUGGCAUGAUCUCAGCUCACUGGAACCUCCACCUCCUGGGUUCAAGCGAUUCUCCUGCCUCGGCCUCCCAAGUAGCUGGAUUACUGGUGAGCACCAUCACACCUGGCUAAUUAUUGUAUUUUUCGUAGAGAUGGGGUUUCACCAUGUUGGCCAGGCUGGUCUCAAACUCCUGGACUCAAGUGAUCUGCCCAUCUCGGUCUCCCAAAGUGCUGGGAUUAUAGGCUGGCAGCUUGCAGGCCAGCGGGAAGGCUUUAAGGAGCCAUCAGGAACCCAGGCUUCUCCUGCAUUUCUGAUGCCACCAUCAUCAGCUACGUCUUGGUUUCUGUGAUUGUAGGAAGGCAGCUCCAUCUCUGGGCACCAUGGUUGCAUCCUAGACACGGUGAAGGAGGAAGGCCAAGGCUAGAGGCUUCUGGGUCUCCUUCUCCAGAGGCUUCCAUGCAAACCCCACUCAGGGCUGUCUGUGGACACCCAUAGACCAAAACCAAGUUGCCUUCUCAGGGGAGUAUUUUCCACAGGGCACAUUGGUGCCCUGCCCCUAAAUGGGGUUCUGAUGGAUUAGUGCUGAGUAGGCAACAAUGAUGACCAGUGGGUAAUAAUAUAUCAUGUCACCUAUAAAAAAUUAAACUUCAGCCGGGGGCCAUGGCUCAUGCCUGUGAUCUUAGCAUUUUGGGAUGCUGAGGUGGGUGGAUCACCUGAGGUUGGGAGUUCGAGACCAGCCUGGCCAACAUGGAGAAAGCCUAUCUCUACUAAAAAUACAAAAUUAGCUGGUAUGGUGGCGGGCACCUGUAAUCCCAGCUACUCAGGAGGCUGAGGCAGGAGAAUCGCUUGAACCUGGGAGGCAGAGGUUGUGGUGAGCCGAGAUCGCACCAUUGCAUUUCAGCCUGGACAACGAGAGCAACACUUCAUCACACACAUACACACAAAAUUAAACUUCACAGCAUACGCACGUCCCCAGGUCACUAGAGCAUAGCCUCGGUAUUCUAAAGGACAUGCAAUAGUAUGUUUGUGAAUGCCCAUCACGUUUCCCAACCUCCUCCCUUCCUACACGGCAGCAGCUACCUGUCUGUACACCACUGCCUGACCUUGAGGGAGGCUGGGGCCGGUGUGGGCACUAAGAUACAUCCAGAGGAGCAGUGUCAGGAGCAGCAGCUCGUGGUGAUGCCAGCAGUAGGAGACAGCAUCAGAGCCAGGAGGUGGCAGGCACACUGUAGGGACAGACAGCCCCCCAGACAGAGCAGCCGGCAGGAGGGACAUGAACUGCAAAGUCAUCUCCUGAACCCAGUGACAUCAGCGCAUCAGAGCCUUAACUCCACUGGUUUUCUGAACCCUGGGUCAGGUCAAGAAGCAGAAAAUAAAAAGAACGGCCUGGAAACUUCUCUGCCUCUUUAGGAAGUGGUGCUGUCUUUGGAUUCAUCCGGGUGACACCUGUGCUCAGUAGAUAUCUGGUGAAUGAUUGAUUCAACCAGGCAACCAGGAGCCAGCAGGAGGCUAAAUGGGUUUUUAAUGACCUGUAAGUCAUCUCAGAUCACAGCACCUCUGAGUUGGGAGGAACACGUUGUCUAGGGGAAGUCUCCUGCUGAUGCCUGAAGACUUCUUUCAACAAGUUCCCUCAUCUCUGCUUGCAUGUCUCUCUUGAUGGGAUGCUCACUGCCUUCAAGAGAGACAUGCAAGCAGAGAUGAGGGAACUGACCAGAACAGCUGGUCUUACUGCUCUGCAGCUCCAAGGGUAGACAGGGCUUCCUUAGGUUUAGUCAAGAGCUGUGGCCUUCUCAAUCCCACUAGUCGGUCCUGAUGUUGUGCUUGCAGAAUCACACAAAAUAAAUCCAGUUGCUCUUCAGAUUCUACUCCCUGCCCCUAAUUAUAGAAAGGCUUAAUUUUCUCCACAUGUGGGUACUUUGCUUCCUUUUUUGCUUUGUUUUCUGUGUUUAUUUACUCAACAAAGCUGUAUUAAGCACCUCCUUUGUGGCAGGGACUGUACGCAGUGCAGGGGUUACAAUGGUGAAGGAUUCUAGCUCGCAGGAAACCUAUAACCCAAACGGGGAAGAUGGGUGAGGAUGAUGACGAUUGUGGUGAAAUUCACAUAAUACAUAAUUAACCAUUUUAAAAUGUGCAAGUCCGUGGCAUUUAGUGCUUUCACAAUCUCGUAUAACCACCACUUCUAGCAUCAAAAGUUGUCAUCACCCCAGAAUGCCUUGUGCCAUCAAGUAAUCACUCCUGUCUAUCUCCUGGAAACCACUAAUGUGUCUUCUCUAAGGCCUAACCUAUUUUGGAUAUUUCAUAUAUUUAUUUAUUUAUGUAUUUUAUUUUUUGAAGACAAAGUCUCACUCUGUUGACCAGGCUAGAGUGCAAUAGCACGAUUUCAGGUCACUGCAACCUCUGCCUCCUGGGUUCAAGCGAUUCUCCUGUCUCGGCCUCUUGAGUAGCUGGGACAACAGGCAUGUGCCACCACAUUGUCUAAUUUUUGUAUUUUUAGUAGAGAUGGGUUUCAUCAUGUUGGCCAGGCUGGUCUCAAACUUCUGGCCUCAAGUGAUCCGCCUGUCUCGACUUCCCAAAAAGAAACCAAAACACAUUUUUAUCAAAGUUUCUGUGUGGAUGUGUUUUCAUUUCUCUUGGAUAUAUACCCAGGAAUGGAAUUUCUGGGACAUAUAGAAACUCCUGUCCCAGAAACUUGUGUCCUAAUUUUUUUUUUGAGAUGGAGACUUGCUCUGUCGCCCAGGCUGGAGUGCAGUGGCACAAUCUCCACUCACUGCAACCUCCACCUCCUGGGUUCAAGUGAUUCUUUUGUCUCAGCCUCCUGAGUAGCUGGGACUACAGGUGUGUGCCACUAUGCCCGGCUAAUUUUUUGUAUUUUUAGUAGAGACUGGGUUUCAUCGUGUUAGCCAGGAUGGUCUCGAUCUCCUGACCUCGUGAUCCGCCUGCCUUGACCUCCCAAAGUGCUGGGAUUACAGGCGUGAGCCACCGUGCCCAGUCUCCUAACUUUUUAAGGAAUGGCCAAACUAUUUUUCACAGUGACUGCACCACUUGAUGCUGUCACCAACAAUACAUGAGGGUACCAAUUUCUCAGCAUCCUUGCCAAUACUUCUUAUUUUCAUUGUUUUUGACAAGGGCUAUCCUGGUGGGUGUACAGGCAUCUCAUUGUGAUUUUGCCACAUCUCCUUAAUUACAAAUGGUGCUGAGCAUCUUCUCAUGUGCUUGGUGGCCAUUUGUAUAUCAUCUUUGGAGAAAUGUCUCUUCAAGUCCUUUGUCCACUUUUUAAUUGGGUUGCAUGAUGGUUAAUUUUAUGUGUCAAUUUGAUUGGGCCACAGGGUGCCCAGAUGUUUGAUAAAAUAUUAUCCCGGGUGAUUCUGUGAGGGUGUUUUGGGAUGAGUUCAUAUUUAAAUUAGCUGAAUAAAGCGAUUGCCCUCCCUAAUGUGGGUGAGACUCAUGCAAUUAGUUGAAGGCCUGAAUGGAACAAAAAGGCUGACACCCCUCCAAGGAAAAGAAAAUUUCUUCUACCUGGCUGCCUUCAGCCUGGGAUCUUCGCUUUUUCCUGCCUCUGGACUCAGAAGCUACGCCGUCAGCUCUCCUGGGCCUCCAGCUUGCCGAUUCACCCUGUAGAUGCUGGGGCGUGUCCAUCUCCCUAAUUGUGUGAGCCAGUUCCGUACAACAAAUCUUUUGUUGUUGUGAUUGUUGUUAUUGAGACAGAAUUUUGCUCUUGUUGCCCAGGCUGGAGUGCAAUGGUGCAGUCUUGACUCACUGUGACCUCUGCCUCCUGGGUUCAAGUGAUUCUCCUGCCCCAGCCUCUCUAGUAGCUGAGACUACAAGCAUGCAUCACCAUGCCUGGCUAAUUUUGUAUUUUUAGUAGAGACGGAGUUUCGCCACGUUGGUCAGGCUGGUCUCGAACUCCCGACCUCAGAUGAUCCGCUUGCCUCAGCCUCCGAAAGUGGUGGGAUUACAGGCGUGAGCCACCGUGCCUGGCCACAACCGAUCUUUUUAUGCACUAUAUACAUGUUUGUACACACACACACACACACACACACCCCUACAAGUUCUGAAAAUUGGAAAUCUGAAAUGCUCUGAAAUCUGAAACUUUUUGAGGGUCAUUGUGAUGCUCAAAGGAAGUGCUGAUUGGAGCAGUCUGAAUUUUGAAUUUUUGGAUUUGGAAUGCUCAUUCGGUAAGUAUAAUGCAAAUACUUCACAAUCCAAAAAAAUCCAAAAUACUGCUGCUCCCAAGCAUUUUGGAUAAGGGAUACUCAACUCGGGCAUGCACACACAUACACAUACCCAGAGCCAAUUAGUUCUGUUUCUCUGGAGGACUCUAAUAUAGGUUUUUUUCUUGUUGUUGAGGCACAGGCGUUCUUUAUAUAUUCAGGAUUCUAAAUCCUUACCAGAUGUAGGAUUCACAACUAUUUUGGUCCCUUUGAAAAGACAGAUGGUUAGAGAAGCAAUAUGAAGUGGAGUUUGCAGCGGGGCCGGAAGCACAGGGCAGGAGCACCUCAGCACUGAAGCUCCCGAGAGCUGGCUGAUGUAUCAUAGAGCCCGAUGCUCCUGGCACUGAGUAGGUGCUCAAUAGUUAUUGUCAGUAAAAAUGAGCAACUACGCUUGGAUGUUGGGUGGGAACAAACAAGCCUCUCCAGAGGGAGCCUCAUGGAAGCUGAAGCCUGAGGCUGGUGUCGCAAUGAGCCAGGCCGGGGAGGAAGAGUGAUGUAGCUGAAGGAACAGCUUAUGUGAGGGCCCAGAGGAGAGGGAGGACAUGGCAGUUUUGAGGCAUGGCACAUUCUAUGUAGUUGAAACACAGAAUGCUGGGAAUGAAUGUAGGGGUGUGGGGCUACAUGGGGGAGGUGAGAGAGGAGAAAGCAGGAGAGUAGCGAGAAAGGAGAAAUGUGGACCGGGCCAGACAUGAGGGGCUUUGUGGGCCGUGCAGGAGUUCGGGGCCCUCUGAGAAAGAGGGAGAGAGAACAAAGCUGUGAGGCGUUAAUGAAUGAGUGUGGCCCUAAGAAGGCCCUGUGCUCUCAGGAUCCUGGGAGGGUGUAGGGGAAGCUGACUCCUCCAGGCUCCUCCCAGUUUAAAUUCUGGCUCUGUCUCCUAUCAGGCAAAAAGUGGGGUCAAACAAAUGGAUUCAGGAGUCUCAGUAAAGAUACUUGAGCUGCAUCUACUCAUCUGUAUGACAGGGGCCAUGAGGAGCCUGUGGACUCCAGCGACAGACUAGAGGAUCUAGCCUAAGCCCCCAGAUUUGACCCUCACAAGGGCCCAAAUAAAGGACACAGAAAGACAUGUCUUCUACCAUUUCCUGCGAAUGACUUUGUUGAGGAGGUACAGGGAAAUGGGAAACUGAGGCAGGGCAGGGCAACUGAGAGUGGAAAUUGAGGGGGGGCCUUUUGUGGCACAGUUUGGGGUCCAAGCGGGGAGCUUAGGCCUUCCUCCUUCGGCGGCACUGAUGCAGGAGGAAGAGAAGGGAGCCGAGAACACCAGGCCUCUGUCCCAUUUGCUGAACCACCUCUUGUCAACAGUCUUCUGGGUCUAAAUAAACCAACAUCAGAUUCACCCAAAUUGAAUCUUCCUAGACUGAUUGUGUCUUAGUGGCUGCAGGUGCCUUGAGGAUGGGGAAUCUUUACUGGGAAAGCAGAGGGGGAAAGAGGCUGAAUGCUUUAGGAAGUGAUUGCUUCGAUGAGGUCAGCAUUCUAAAGUGUUGAGCUAUGCCGUACACAGGAAAGCACUCAGAAAUUAUUUGUCAAGUCAGGGAAUACAUGUUUGCAAUUUUCACUUUUAUUGGCUGUGUGGUUUGGGCAAGUUGCCUAACCUCUGAACCUUCCUGUAAAAAAUAGACAUCUCUUCCUCGGAUGGCUACGGUGUGGAUUAAGACGUGGUACCUUAGUCCAUUUGGACUGGUAUAACAAAAUACCUUAGGCUGGGUAAUUUAUAAACAACAUACAUUUAUUGCUCACAGUUCUAGAGGCUGGGAAGUCCAAGAUCAAGGUGCUGGAAGACUGGGUGUCUGGUGAGGGCUCUCGGCUUCACAGAUGGCGUCCUGUUGUUAUAGCAUCACAUGGUGGAAGGGUGGAGAGCUAGCAGCCUCCCUCAAGCCUCUUCUAUGAGGGCAUUCAUCCCAUUCAUGAGGACUCGACUUCCAUGAUCGAGUCACCUCUCAAAGGCCCCAUCUUCUAGUACCAUCACCUUGAGAGUUGGGUUUUGACUGUGAAUUUUGGAGGGACACAAACCUUCAGACCAUAGCAGAUGGUAUAUACAAAGUAUCCAGCAAGAAGGAGGGAGAUGCAGCCCCAGAGCUGCAGCCCUCAACAGUCAUAUUCUCCAGGGACAUGAUUGACAGCAGAGGGUGGCUCAAUCCUGACUCUCCCACCCACCCUUCCUCUCCAUGGAGUCUGUUCUGAUGCUCCUGGCUCUUCUUCCCCUCCCCACUGAGUCCCCUGUCUCCCACCUCUGGGAUAUCAACCCAUCCAGGGAGCCAGUGAUCAUUCAUCACUCGAUGAAGGUGCGCUGCUCCUGGCUCUUAUCAAAACCAUUCAGGGACAGAUUGAUUUGAGACCCUUCCUCCGGCCUGAGCUUUCUCCUUCCUGCUUCCAGCCUCUCAGACAGAAAGGCAUGGAGAUAAACAGCGAGCCUCCUCUGAUCGUGACAAUGAAGAGACAGAGCUGCAUUCAGCGGAUGAGAAAACCCAGACCGGGCUGCUGAUGCAGGUGUCAGGCCGGUGGGUGGCUGGAGACUGAAGAACUGGAAUCCAGUGAUACUCAGCCACAGUGGGGUGUGCUGGGUGGGGAGGGUUUCCUGUCAUGCCUGAAUUCCUUACUGAGCUAGCAGGUCUCCAUGGAUGGCACUAUGGCAGAGGUGGGACAACAGGGGCCUGGGGCCAAGCCCCAUUCUGCUCUGCUCUGCACUGCUAUGUGGCCUUGAGUGAGUCACAAGCCACACUGGGCCUUUGUGGCCACAUCUGCAUCAGGAUGUGUGAAGCCCAGCAUCUUUUUUGGUGCCGGAUCCUGGGAUCCAGCAGGAUGGACCCCUGCAGACAGGCCCUGAUUUCAGAUGUCACAUGGUCUUUGGGAGGGGUGGACGGGAAUCAGAUUGCCACGUAUUGUUUUUUUCAUUUCACUUACAGGAGUUGGGUGGGGGGCACUCUGAUGUCAGUGGAGGUGAUGCUUCAGAGUGGAUUCCUGAGGAUGAAGAGGACUGAGCCAGGGAAAGGGGGGUGAUGAGGACAGGGAGGCAGAAUGGUCCAGACUGAGGGAGAUGGGCUGGGAUGGAAGCUGGGUCAUGCCUGUAGGCGGGAACUCUGUGUUUGGCUCUGGGAUUUGAUUCUAUAGAUCGGGCAGUUGCUGGACAGCUUUAAACAGGACAAUGUGAUUUGAUCUACGUUUUGGAAAGAGCCCUUGGGCUCUGGGUGGAGAGUGGGUUGGGGAGGGGGAGGGGAGGCCAGGAGAAAGGCUGGGGACCACUGCAGGGGUCCCUGGACACCAGGGCGGUCCCCCUAGUGUCUCCCAGAGACUGGGAGAAGCCAGCCCCCUUGACAUGGUGAAGGUUGCAGUAUAGAAAGAUGCCAAGCUGUGUUCCAGACACAGACUGGAUAACAAUCGCAUUUGAACAGAUGUCUAUGUCUGAAUUGGAGACUCUUUACAAAUGGGAGACCCAGGCUGCCAGGCUUCCCUGUGUCACGUCCAAUCCUGCCCGUGAGUGGGCCCAGAUGUAGGUGGUGGCCAAGGACGAGAUAAACGGCUGGCCAAGUGGAGCAUGAUACAGGAGGCAGGAGGAAGAGGGCUUGGCAAGUGACUGCCGGGUUCAGCGAGGCUGUCCCUUGUCAUUCCACCUCCCCCGCCACACUCCCGUACUCCGUUCUCAUCCCCCCUCCACACAAACUGCCCACCGCUGUCACCUUUCCCAGUGCACAGUGGUAUGUUGGGUCAUUAAGCCCUGCAUUUAAUUCCAGCUCUGCCUCUUGCUGGCUGUGUGUCCCCAGAGGGCCUCAGCUUUCUUGCCUGUGAUGGGGGUAAUGGGAGUACUUAUUGCUGAGGCUUGUUGAAAGGAGGAAAUGAGAUGCUGUGGCUUAGUAAAUAGAACCCUCCCUCCCCCAAGGUGGCCACCAUUGCUGCUGCCUCUGUUAUCCCGCAGGGGCCUUAAGCCCUUGCAGGGAAACUCUUUCCUCCUUGACCUGCCCAGGCCCCAGGCAGGGUCUUUUCAUGACAGGGUCCUGGAGCCUGGAGCCCUGCAUCCCCCAAGAGGUCAAAAGGCCAUGCUAUCCCACAUGUGGCUGCUGUGCUGUUGGCUGCCCUGAGUCUGGAUUGCAUGGUGUGGGCUGUCAUUCUGGUGUGGAACAAGAGGCACUGAGGCCACUCGAGGCCGGCGGGCAGCUGUCACUGUUGUCCUGAGCUGCCUAUCCUCUCGCAGGCCCCUGAUCUGGUUUCUGGGUGAAAUGCUCUGGCUCCCCAGCCCCAACCCCCUGCCCUGCUGCAUUCCACACAAGUCCGCAUGGGGGGCCCCCUUCAUCUUCCCCAGCGCCACCUCAGUGUGUAAAGUUGGGCCUUCUGAGACCUCACAUGAAGACCCAUGUCUGCAUUGGUCCCGACUAUGGUCAGGAGCAUGUGUGUGUACACACACCCUCGUGCCUGCCCACUGCAUAUGCCACUCACACACAAUCCCACUCCCAGGCUCAUUCCCACUUGCUCCACCUCUGGCUCACCUGCCACCUUUGUGCAGGCCUUGGCACCUGGCUGAGCCCCCUGCAGGGCAGCCCUUUGGGGUUUGCUGCAGUGUUGACUCAGUUCCCAGUGCUGGCCUCGAGUCCUCUCCGAGACCUGGGCCUGCCUGCUCUGAGCCUGGCUGCCACCCUGGAUGGGGGUCUACCCAUCCCUGACCCUCAGCCUCGGUCCUGAUGGGUUGUCUGCCUGGGGCUGGACCCUCAGGGAGAGCCUCCCUGACUGCCCUUGCCCAGGGCGGCACCUCAGAGCACAGGGGUGGUGGCAGGGCAUGGGGUCUGGUGAGAGAAAGGCUAUCACUCCAGUGCUCCCUCCCCACCAAAUAACCUCCCUAAGGCUGUCUUGGGGAAUAGCAGAAGUUAUUCUGCAGGGGCAAGGCCGUUUUCACCCUCAGUAUCUGUCCCCACUUCUCAUUUCCACAGGGGCACCCCUCUCCCACUCUCAGGCCAUGAGCCUUGUGUGUGACCCACCCCACCUGUCUCCAAUCAGGAUCCCUCCUCCCAGCCUCUGUGUCUGAUUCAGGAAGGGACACAGGCUCUGGAGGUGAUACUGGGGGUGUGGUCCUGGAGCCUCCCUGUGCCGGCUGUGUGACUUGGCUAACAUUUAAAUUCUAUGUGCCUUAGCUUCCUCGUCUAUACAAGGGAUGUAACAAUAGCACGCAUUUCAUAGGGCUGUUGUGCAGAUGGAAUCCUGUAAAGGGCUCAGUAAGUGCUCAGUAAACAUUAGCUACUAGUAUUAAUGGGACUAAAUCUGUGGCCUUCUGAUGGAGUGGUUGGGAACAAGAAGUUCUUUUUUUUUUUUUUUUUUUGCUGGUAAUGCUGAAUGUUCACCUUGAGCUGCUGGGGGAAUCUUAUCAUGAAGGGAGAGACCCCCCAACAACAAAUUCAGCACAAAGGAAAGCAGUG